rnacentral:rRNA from 1 species
UCCUACGGGGGGCAGCAGUAAGGAAUAUUGGGCAAUGGACGCAAGUCUGACCCAGCCAUGCCGCGUGCAGGAUGACGGCCCUACGGGUUGUAAACUGCUUUUGUACGGGAAAAAACCCUCGCUCGAGUAGCGGGGCUGAUGGUACCGUAAGAAUAAGCAUCGGCUAACUCCGUGCCAGCAGCCGCGGUAAUACGGAGGAUGCAAGCGUUAUCCGGAUUCAUUGGGUUUAAAGGGUCCGCAGGCGGGAUAAUAAGUCAGAGGUGAAAUCCUACGGCUCAACUGUAGAACUGCCUUUGAUACUGUUAUCCUAGAGUGUAGUUGAUGUGGGCGGAAUAUGUCAUGUAGCGGUGAAAUGCUUAGAUAUGACAUAGAACACCGAUCGCGAAGGCAGCUCACAAAGCUACAACUGACGCUCAGGGACGAAAGCGUGGGGAUCAAACAGGAUUAGAUACCCUAGUAGUCC